CAAUUGAAGAGUGGAAAGAGCUAAUUUACAAAGAAGUAAUGGAUUGGGAAGAAAGAAGCAAGAAUGGUGUUGUAAAAGAUCAACCUUCAGCACAGAUGCAGCAGUAAGUAGCAAUGCCACGCCUUCUCAGUCGUCCUCUAUCAAUGACAUUUCAUCCAUGUCCACUGAGCAGAC